GAGACGAGAACAAGGGAGAAAGAGAGGGAGAUGCCCUGUGGCAAAAGUGGCCCCACAUUUUGACUAUUUGAGAACACAGAAGAUAUUCCUGAAAAACAGUUUAUUGCAGCUUCACUCAUAUUAAAUAAACCUUUUCAAGCCAGCAAGAUAAACUUCAGUUCCAUUACAUUUUAAGGCCUGUAAGGCCAGUUAUUGGGAGCAAUUAAGAAAUAGAGGCAGCAAGACUAAUUCCAUGUUUGGAUGAGUCUUAGGAGUUGUAUUGCAUGGUACCUAUAUGUGAAUAAGAAGAAGAUGUUCCUGCAGCUUGACAAGGCCUCUUUUAAGACAAAAGAAGAGGACAACAAAAUUGAAAGACUCAAACCACUGGGCCCUGUGGUCAAGGAAUGUUGUUCUUCCUUUUUGAAGCUACAGGACAGGAGAACAGCUGAAGUAGACUUAUGGAGAUUGUUGAACUAUUUCUACUGGCUAUAGAAUUAAAUAAAGCAAUACCCCUCCUUGGCAACUUUAUAAUAGGCACAAGAGUGGUUACCUUAGUUCACAGAGCUUUCUCGUUCUUUCUUUCUUUUUUUUGUAUACCUGUGCCAUUGCAUCAGUCCUGAAAUUGUGCUAAGCCCACAGCUGGCUCUUUUGAAAGGAAUUGCACUAAUGUACAUGAAAAGGAAAUCUCAAAAUAGAUGAUAGGAUUCUCACAAGUUACAUAAUUUUGGAAAAAGUUCAAAAUUCUGAAAUCCAUCCACAAAUUAUUACUAUACUGAACUUGACUUUUUCUGUGUAUUUAUUCACUGUCCUAAUAUUAGAAUUCCUGUAGGAAUGCACAGUAGUCGAUCACUGUGAUGGUAGCCCUUUUGAUGAAUGAAACAGUGGGCCCAUUCAUAGAAGAGCCAUGGGAUUGCAACUGGGAUUUUUCAAAAUUACUUUAAGAAUGAUCCAUUUAUAUCUAUAUCUUUCCUUGACAGAAAACAGAAUUAUAAUGCCUGUAAACACAAAAACUAAAACAGAUUUCAGAUAGCAGUCAGUACUAAAGUACCCAUGUGGGUUGCAAUGCUCACUUAGGAUCUCUGCCUACAAUUGUAUACAGAGAUAAUAGGUUUAUCUCUAAGUGUGACCAUUCAUCUCAGCUGAGUUUUGGUCUUAUUUUUAAAGCUGAAAUCAUGAGGCAAAGGUCUAUAUUUAUCUGUAUGUAACCAUUAGUCCUCUAUCUCAAAAUCUUGUGUAACUGUGUAAGCAUUUUUGAAAUAUGGUCCUGAGCCUAGAUGUAAACGUCAAAAUACUUAAAUACUAGAAUUAGAUUUUGUAAUUUAGUACUGUAGAACUCUUAAUAUGAAUUUGUUAAUUUUUGGUUUUCUUAUAUUAAAAAAAGUAUUAGGUAAUAAAGUCUCUGAAAGUAUCCAGUGUCUAUUUUUCAGAGUGCAAAGCCUUUGAAGUUGUAAUGCCUAUUGACUUCAUACAAAGC